GAAGGGGGAGCUAUGCAGAUGGGGAGCUCAGCUCACGGAGCGUCUCCCUGGAGGCACUGAGACCUGGGUGACAGGAGAGUCCAGGGCGUGAGGAUCCAGGGGAAGGUCUAGCAGGCAGAAGUGUCAGAAGCCACAGGAUAGUGGACUCCUGGGGAUAAUGGCCAAAAGGCCAGGGAACCACGUGGCUGACUUCAGAGUUGGGGUUGGGGCUUGAAUUCAAGGGAAGGGACACUCCGAGGGGAUGCUCCUGCAGAGAAGUGUGACCCAGCAGGCGGGCGCUGAGAGAGAGGGACCAGCCAGGGACUGUCCCCCGCAUGCCAGGCAGUGGACUUCGGAGCACGCAGCUGGCCUGUAGCACUCGGCUCCCUGUUCUGGGCUACGACCCUCUCCUGGCUGCAUUAGGUCCUAAGCAAAACACAUCAAGUACCUGUCGCCCUGAAUUAGCUGUUGGAGGGGAGAGAAGUCCAGGCUGAGGUCUCGUUUGGGGAACUAGACCAAAUCCAGCUCCGGGGAAGCAGUUCUCUGGACUCGAGGUGGCAGGACAAUGAGGUGGGGUCCAGCCUGAUAGAGGAGGUCCAGGUGACAAGUGGAAUCUGUGCCCCGCUACACCGGGACCUUCAGAAACCCCCAUAGAAAGGGGCAGGAUUCCUAAGACACGCAGAGGGGCUCAGAGCCCCACGCUGGACAGCAAGGCUGGCGACCACGGUGGACAGCCAGGGAAGGAGGGGCGGAGCAGGAGGGAGGCGGCCGCAGAGCUGGAUCAUUAAACAAAAGACAAAGGCUUCCUUCAGGAGCUUCCUUUGCUAAGUUGUUUCAAAGCUGUGAUAAUCAAGUUCCUGACAACAUUUCCUGGCAGGGACUGCUGUCCCCUCUUCCACUUGGCUGCACUGUCUUCCUGCAGCACCAGGAAGGAAGGUCCUCGGGUGACCAAGCCCACUCAGGGGACUCACAGAGUCUCUCCGGUGCAGAGCCAAGGGUGGGAUUCAAGUGACGGGCGGGAGAGCUCAGCUCAGGGACAGCCCUGGAGACGCGGGUGGAGACAGAAAGGGCAGGUGACUCUCCAAAGCCCUGUGGUGGCCUGUCCAUUCCCUCGACAGUCACGAUUCCAGCUCCAGACUCCUGCUCUCCUGGAGGUUGUGUUCUGGGAGGUGAUGGCAGAUAGUAAAUAAUAAAACAUAACAGAGUCAUUCAUAGGCUGUGGUAGAAGAUGAAUGCUUUAGAAAGAUGAUACACAACAAGCAAAGAUCAGGAGUAUGGGGAAGAGGGCCAGUUGCAAUUUUAACAGACAAUUAGAAGAAGGUGACCUCUGAGUAUAAAUUGAAAGAGGUGAAGGAGGAGAAGAAUUUGGGCAAAGGGAACAGCGAGUGCAAAGGCCCCGAGGUGAGAGUGUGCCUCAGUGUUCCAGGAACAGCAAGGUGGCCAGAGUGUCUGAGGCCACCUAAGGAUGCUCAGAACAGAGCUGAGGAUGAGGAGAGUAGGCACCAGGGGCCACAUCCCUCAGGGUCUCGUAAACAUUGCCAGGACUUGUCAUCUGUCUGUCAGCAGGCUCUACACCGCAGGACCCGUACAUUCCAUCUCUGCCCUCACAGCCUGGAUAUCACCAGCACCCAGUAAAUGCCUGCCGGGUGAGUCACCGCAGGUGAAAUGCACACAGCUCCUGGCCGGGCAGGCGUGUCCAGGUGCACUGGCACUGCCCGCAGGCACCCCUUCCUCGGGCAGCAAGACCAAAGAGGGCCAGCACCUGCCACCUGCAAGAAGACCAAGGGCCAGGGAGCCCAGAGACAAAGGACCAGGAACAGGGAAGAGAGAAGGAAAGGGCUGGGAAAGGCAAGAGACCUGGCGCCCAGCACUAGCUGUUCCGUCUCUUGAAUGUUCUCCAGGGAUUUCUCACUGGCUGAGCCUCCGCGUGCAACACAGGGCUCCUGUCUCCCUCUCCCCAGGAAUCCUCCCUCACAGCAUGAUGCCCCGUCCCCUAUGGGCACAUCUGAGGCCCAUCUAGGUGUGCAAAGGAAUGAAAAUCCUUUGGCUCCUUUGGGAACCCAGCUGUCAAAGACAGCUGCUCUAAAUGGUGGGCCUUCUCCCUCCUGUCACCCACGUUGCUCUGUCUUCUAGUUCAUUAGAAAGCAGAGAAAGUCUCUCAUUGUCCCUUCCUCACUCAUUCCCUGACCCAUGCCAUUCUGCGUGCUGUGGUCCUUUGGGCUGUAAGCCACCAGUUACACCUGUCAAGGAUCUCGAGUUCAAAGCCAGCCUCAGCAAUGAUGAGGUGCUUAGCAGCUCAAUGAGAUCCUGCCUCUAAAUAAAAUACAAAAUAGGGCUGGGGAUGUGGCUCAGUGGUUGAGUGUCCCUGAGUUCAAUCCCUGGUACCAAAAACAAAAAGAAAAAGAAAAAGCACCAAUAGGAUGAAUUUCCUUACCUCAAUCUACCCCUCUAAACAGCCUCGGGACCCCUGCAUCUUAUAAGUAGUCCCAGAUGUUACUCCCAAGUAACUCCUACAAGUGCCCCUGCCACCAAGCGGUCUAACCAAGAAGGUUUAGCAUGGGGUCAUGGAAGCCCCCGGGAGCUAGGCACAACCACAAGCUCUCUGUGUGUGCAUCUCUGUGCUCCUGCUGAGGUGAGGGCACAUAGAUCCAAAAAAAUAUUUUCAGCCCUCUCCAAUCCCCUGCCCCUGAAAAGGUUUUAACCCUGUCAGGUCACUGCACAGGACCAUGCUGAGCCCUGUAUGGACAUCACAGCCCACGGUGGCCAGGCAGCCCAUCACUGUUUAAUUGGCAAUUGGAGAAAUCAUUGUGGAAAGAUCUAAAUUUUCAAGAAUAUCUGCUCUGGGAGUUGUGAAAAAUCUACAGGAGUUAAGAGCAGCAAAAAUAAA